rnacentral:tRNA from 1 species
GCCGGGGUGGCGAAAUUGGCAGACGCGCGAGACUCAAAAUCUCGAGUGGCUUAGGCUACGUGGGGGUUCAAGUCCCCCCUCCGGCA